UCUCAUUAUAGUCUAUCCAAAUGCAUGAUGCCAUGCAAACCAAAUGGACCAUGCCGGGUCGGGUCAAUUCUUACCAAUUAUAGUUAUGGACUUAGACAUUAAUCCAACAGUCUCCCACUUGGAUAAGUCUAAAACUAUUAUUGCGUAUGACUUCAGGAACCAACUGGCAAUCGUAGCUCUCAAAAGCUUCUGUCGAACUCUGACCUUGUAGAUGAACUCUGACCUUUGUCAAUGACUUGUCCAUUAGAUAAGGGAUCAUAUAUUCCUCCAUUCUAGAUAUCAUAUGGACUGAGACAUGGAUUAUAAUCAUUCUCUCUGUCCAUUUGUUGUUUCCCGAUUUCCGAUUUAUGACGACUGACUAAUUGAACAAAUCAAAUCAGUCCUGGCCCGGCCGAGCACUUCCAUUUGUCAUCAUCAAAUCAUCGAGGGGCCCACAGAUAUCGCUUUUAUCCCGAAGGUAAAAGGAAUGGAUAAACUUCGACUCAUAUGGCUUGUUCUACUACUUGUUGAAUCAUACACAAAGGCACGUUUUAUAGCACCGAGUUACCAAAUGCGGUUUCGUGCAAUCAAUGUACAACCAACUCAUAGUAACAACUCAUAUCUCUAGGUUUGAAGAAUAUAAGAUAUUAUCGUCUCAUGAUCACUCGUGAUAAAAUCCAUGAAGUGAUUCAAAUGAGCGCGGGUUGAAUCCAAUACUCAGAACUUAUGAGCACUCAUGAGUGUUGUAGCACAACUUUGUCCACCAACUUGGACCUCUACAAGCCAACCCAUGACAGUCUUGAUUCAUAUCUACUUCCAACAUAUGACCGACUGUGGAUGGUUUAAAUAACUUAGUCAUUCCGGAAGAAUAACCUAGUUAUUAUGGAAGUCAAAACAUGCAAAGUGAAACACAAGAAUAAAUGAAUCAAAUAUGGUAUCAAACCCUAUGAAUAUAAAUAGAAAACUUCUAUUUAUCACCAUACUGAUUACUCAUUAUUCAUUGUUUCGGUUUUAUCAACUUUAUACUUGAAUUAAAAACACUAGUUGUCCGAUCCUCCAAGCAUGUACACUAUGUUUUCCUAAACAAUAGCUUUGCCAUACACCAAGUAUGCACCCUAUGUUUAUCUAUGAUCCUUACUUUGUGAAAUAAACCAAUUGACCAAACUUUCAAUGAUUCUAAUUUCACACUCCCAAAUCGAAAUCUGUUAGAUUUUAAACUUAAAUGCACCACCCUCUUGCAAUGAGUGUGUACAAAGUCACAAAGACUUGUCAACAACCACUACAGGGUAUUCCAAUGAAGACCUACUCCAUGGUCACAAAGCCUUUUGUUCAAAGUAUGCAUUGCUUUGAACAUGCUUCUUGCACUAAGUUCUUUCUAAUCUUACGCAGAUUCCUUCUAUCUAUAGAGACAACUCUAUAUUCCUAUUUUGACUACUACUUCUGAACAAGAGUUGCCUCUUUUCAGACUAUGUCAAUAUGGCCCUUCCAAAAUUCACACUAUACUUCCAACUGUCCUUGAGCAACCAAUCUUUGGUAAACCUUAGAUUGUCCUCGACAAUUGCUUAAUCACUUUAGUCAUAUCCAAUUCUAGACGUUCUCCUCCUUAAUGCUCCAAGGCAUUUGAACAUUCAUAAAGAAUAACUAUUAUAAGACAUGUAAUCGAUCUUGUACCCAAAGUAAAUGGGACACUAAUGAGUUAUAAUAACUCUUGAUCAAUUAGAUCUUUGUAACAGGUAAAUAAAGAAGGUAAAAACAGUAAAAUAAAACACAAGUAUGGAUCUGAAUGAGUCGAAUGAUUAGAUUACUCGAUCCUCAGCAGAGCUCGACUAAGAACUUCCGCUAUAGAGGAUACUAGGGUUACAAAAUCAGAACGAUGAACACGCUUGAAAAUACUUAUCUAAUCAUUACCUUCUAGAAUGCAUGCAUGCAUCUAUUUAUAAUAAACCCUAAACAAAACUCACGGAUGGACAGGCCCAUACCGGAGACAAAACUUAGACUUAGCUAACGAGCCCAAAAGACGCAAUACAAAACUAGUCCUAACAAUCUCCCCCUUUGCAUCAAUUUAGAGAGAGACUAUUAUUUCUUCUUGCUUGGACCAGCUGCUGGAACCUUUUUGGUUGUAUCAAAUAGACACGGGAUAAGGGAGAGGAUUGUCUGUCUGAAGCGAAUGUACCAUUGAAUCAUAUCGUCAAAGUACUUCUUGUCAUCCGCUGUGUUUUGCUUGCACCGAUGGAUGAUCCCUAAGACAUGUUCCAGACAUGUAGUGGUAUAGAGAUGUUUGUCUGCCAAAGCGAAAAGACAUUUUUGACCUUCGUUUCUGGUAAACAUGAAGGAGUUUCUCUUUGGGUCUAUCUUCCCCAUCUGCAUCAUGUUAAGAUCACUGGCAGAGCCAACAGGAGAUAUGGUAGGCUUUUUCUUGAAUACACUCGCUAUCUCCUAGUCCAUCUGGGCAACUUCCAUGACAUAGCAUACAAGUAUCCUCUUAAAGAGGUUAAUGAUCGGACCGUAUUCUGCUUCGUUUGUAAGAAGGAUGUUGUGCAAGAUAAUCCAGUCAUGUGGACUUAAGUUGGGAAGAUCUGCAAGUGAGAUGGCAUGUUCGGUCUUGGCAGAUCCUCUUAGUAUCUUGAACCGAACGUUAGUGAAGUUUCCUUCCCUGUAUGGCUUUCGGACCCGAACAUUGAUGAUUUUCUGAGUGCUCCAUGUUUGGUACUGUGGUUGAGCGGCCCUCAGAUAGAAUUCGACUAAGUCCCGGUCAACCUUUGGAUGAGGAUGAGGGAACUCAGCAAUGUUGGAAAAGGCAUGAAAAAUGAACGCCUUGCGGGUCAGUGGCAUAUCGAACUGAGAAUCGAUAGUGUUAGAACGAUCUAAAGAGAUCAUCGGUUCUAGCCACAAGAUACUGGGUGUUUUGAUGGCUUCUUUCAUCAACUUCUCAAGAGUCCAAGGAGGAAAAAGAGUUUUCCUGCUCUCGAGAAGGUCGUGAGCUUCUUUCUGUCUUCGUUCGGCUUCUUCAACCUCUCUAGCUACACGAGCGUUGAUGUCAGCAUCUUUAUCACGACCUUGCUUCUUCAGAAGGUCGGCAAUGGUCUCCUUAUCAUCAUCGCUCUCCUCAGCAAUUUUCUUGCCCUUGUCUUUUACACCCGAACUUGAGGCUUGGCCUAUAGGAGGAGGUUCGGUUGUGUGAGUUGCGGUUGAAGAAGGAGGCGGUUGAGACACAUUCUCUUUUUCUCCCCCUUGUUUCGGAAUGGAUACGAAAUCAAGGAGCCCUUCAAUCUUGCUUAGGAGAGAUAGGGCAGGAGCAAGCUUUUCCGAAAGGUCACGCCUCACAGAAUAGUUGAGGAUCGGGUCAUGUGCUUCCAGGAUGUUAGAAAUAGCUGAGUGGACAUCCGAAACACAUGAUGAAAUUAUCUCCCUUUCAGAUCGAAGAGACUCAAUCUCCUUCUGAGAGUUGGAGAGUUGAAUACUCUUGACCUUCAGAGCGGUGGUCUUCCUUACAAGAGCGUCCAUGAGGGAGUUCUCAGCCGUUGGAUCUUCUUGAAGCUUGGCUAGGCGCUCCUCAAUGGUCGUCUUGAAUGCUGAGUGGUCGUUUGAGAGAGUUUGACGAAGAGAAGCAAAAGACUUCAGCUUUGAUGUAACGGAGGUAGCCAGCUGGUUGACAAUGGGUUCCAACUUUGUUUUGGUGGCUUCAACAUUCUCCUGUAAUGACUAUAACAAAGACAAAGCAUCAAUGAAUAGUUUAUCGACUUUUUCGGUCGCAGCCUCACAGGCUUUGGUUGAGGCAUCAAUGGCUGCAGUGGCGGAGUCAAGAGAGACUUGAUGAGCUUUGGAAAAAGCAUCAACAAUCUUCUGAAUGGCAGCCUUAGAGAUGUUAGAGUGGGAUGUAGAGGAGGAGGCGAUGAGCGAAUCAAUUUUAUUGUGAAGCUCCUUGAGAUGCCUCUUUGUGACAGGAGCAUCGUCAUCGUCAUCACUCUGAACUUGAUACGGACUAUAAUAGACCGAAUCAAAGGUCAUGUCCUCCCCACCGAGGAAUGGUUCUUCACUCUCUGUUGCAUGAGCAGGAGAUGAGGGGGUGGUAAGGGUGGAGGCUCGAUAGUUGUAGUAGGUUCGGGUUGGGUUGUAUGUUUGGUAGUUGGUGGUGGUUUGGGUGCGUCAGUAGGAACCCCUGUAUCAGAUACAUUGGUUCGUACUUCUGCGGUGGUGGUUGUUGCCUCGGUAAAGAUAGGAAGGGUAUUGGUAUGGAGGUAGGUGGUAUUUCAGUGGUGGAAGUUAUGGGGGGGAAUAGAAAUAGGAAUGGUAACUGGUGGAGAGGAGAUUGGAGAAGUGGAAAAGUGAACUUUUGGGGUGGGGAUCGUGGUGGAGUGUUACCAUAAGGAGAGCCUUCAGAAGUAGAACUCUCUUCCUUGGAUUCGCUUGAGGAUGAAGUGAUGAUCAGCUUUCGCCUCGGUUGGGUUUUUCUCCUCUUCAGCGGAGGGGAUUGGACAGCCUUGGUGGUUUUUCGUUUCUUGGGAGAUGGGCCUUUCGCUCCCUUAGCAAUCUGCUUGACUUUGCCCUUGUAAGUCUUCUUUCCUCUUGGGGCAGGCUUGUCAGCCUCAUGGAUUGACUUGAGCAUCUAUGGAGUAAGCUCUCUCGGAACCAGAGCGUCAAAACUCCUUGUAUAUUUUAAUAAUCCGGCUGUCGGCAGGAACAUCGCCAUACAUCGUUUCAGGGAUUAAACCGUUGAAUGGAAAUUUUGAGGCAUCUGAAACAAUGAUCUUCGUGGUAUGAAAAGUACCAAUCGAAGACAUUGGACAACCAGCAACAAUGGGGAUGUGGUAUUUGUCCAUCACCCAUUUAGUAACGAGAGUCCAAAAUCGAGCAUAGGAAAUCUCGAAAUGUCGAGAUGUAGAAGACAGGCUCUGAAUGAGCUGUUGCCAUAGGACUGACCCGUAGUCCAAAUUGAUACCGUUGUAGAUCCCGUACAGAAUCGAUAUGAACAGACAACUUGCUCCGUCCGAUCCAGCACUGCGUUCAGACAGCCCCUUGAACAGCACUGUAAACAACCCAUUCCACUGAGGAGGCAGGCACGAUUUCUUGAAUUUUGUGACCGUAGUUAGCACCUCAGUAUACCCCAUGUUGUAGAACAUAUUAAAAAGAUGACCCAUUGGAAUGGUUUCAGGGAUAACCCUAGAUGAAUCGGGUUCAAAACCUAAGAGUGAGCAUAAUGUCUGCUUUGAAAUUGACGCCUUGUGAUUAAACACAUCGAAGAAAAUCCGAUCGACGACCUUGUCGUAGUGAGCAGUGUCGAAAAUUUGUGGUAAGAACUCCAUAGGAACUGCUUCAACUUUGGUGAGAGCAGGAGCAAUCGGCGAGUACUUCAGGCAUUCGAUUAUCUGGAACAUGAAAGCGUCGUAUGCAUGGGGAGUAAGAUCAAUGAUCAAACUCUAUUGGGGACGAAUCGGCAAGAUGUGUGAAGUAGCAUGAACUGAUGAAGAAUCCGCCAUUGUUGUGAAGAGGUUGGGAGAGAAGAAGAAAAGUAGAAUACUUGAAGGUUUUCUUGCUCUCUAAAAUUUGGUUGCAGUAAAGAGGUAAACAAUGGUUGAAGUUACCUUUUAUACUGUUGGUAGAUGAGAGAGAAGAAUCUGUCCCAAAUCUUCGGGGAAAUACGAAAAGUUUUUCGGAGGUGAUUGACGCAUGACAGUUGGUAUCACCGAUGAUCACGCAUGAGAGAGAGUGUCCUCUUUUCCACCAUCAGUAUUGUAUCCCCUCAUGUGAGAUACAUCAGUCACCAUCAAACACUUCCCACUGCUUUCGUCACCUCUUGCAACAUAUGCCUUUCCAUGUGAAGGCUUUCUCACCUCAUCAUCCUCUGAGUCAGUAGACCACACCUCCACACCACCGAACUCGUCAUCCGCUGCCGAACCCUGUACAAUAAGAGCAUUCAUAGAAGGGUUAGUAGCAGCUUUCUUCCUCUUGAUUUAUUCAAGCUUUUUCAUUAACACAGCCUCUUUAUCUUUUUCCUCAUCUUUCUCUGCCAUUUUCUUCAGAACACAAUCUUUAGCAUAAUGGUUCUUUCCUCCACGGUAAUAGCAGCUAACGCCAGAAUCUCCUUCAACUUUCGCCUCUUUCUUUGGUUCUUUUGUCUUCGGCUCCUCCCUAACUUUUUCAGAACUAUAGCUUCCCUGCCAAUUUCGGUUCUUAUUGGUAGGGAACCUUCUCUUGAUAAACCUUUUUGGAUUAGACACCAUCAUUACAUAAUCUUCAGAAGUAAGAUCAUAGUCUUCUACGUUCAGAUCUACAUCUUCCACUGCAUUCUUGCCUUUUGAUAGGAGGGCCAAGGAUCCCAAGCUUGAGACCACAUUCUUUUCUUGCAUAACAAUCUUUUCUUGGGAUUUCAGAAUUCCCACCAGGUUUUCCAAUGAAUAAGACUUGAGCUGCUCAUGAGCUUUAACUGAAGACACGACAACUCUCCAUUCAGAUCUUAGGCCAUUCAAAAAGGUGACCUUCUGUUCAAUCAACUUCCUUUCUAUAUCAUGUUUGAUCAUCUUGCUAAGAAGAUGAUUGAAUUCAAAACAUAUUCUGAGUGCUCCAUGUUUGGUACUGUGGUUGAGCGGCCCUCAGAUAGAAUUUGACUAAGUUCUGGUCAACCUUUGGAUGAGGAUGACGGAACUCAGCAAUGUUGGAAAAGGCAUGAAAAAUGAACGCCUUGCGGGUCAGUGGCAUAUCGAACUGAGAAUCGAUAGUGUUAGAACGAUCUAAAGAGAUCACCGGUUCAAGCCACAAGAUNAGCCACAAGAUACUGGGUGUUUUGAUGGCUUCUUUCAUCAACUUCUCAAGAGUCCAAGGAGGAAAAAGAGUUUUCCUGCUCUCGAGAAGGUCGUGAGCUUCUUUCUGUCUUCGUUCGGCUUCUUCAACCUCUCUAGCUACACGAGCGUUGAUGUCAGCAUCUUUAUCACGACCUUGCUUCUUCAGAAGGUCGGCAAUGGUCUCCUUAUCAUCAUCGCUCUCCUCAGCAAUUUUCUUGCCCUUGUCUUUUACACCCGAACCUGAGGCUUGGCCUAUAGGAGGAGGUUCGGUUGUGUGAGUUGCGGUUGAAGAAGGAGGCGGUUGAGACACAUUCUCUUUUUCUCCCCCUUGUUUCGGAAUGGAUACGAAAUCAAGGAGCCCUUCAAUCUUGCUUAGGAGAGAUAGGGCAGGAGCAAGCUUUUCCGAAAGGUCACGCCUCACAGAAUAGUUGAGGAUCGGGUCAUGUGCUUCCAGGAUGUUAGAAAUAGCUGAGUGGACAUCCGAAACACAUGAUGAAAUUAUCUCCCUUUCAGAUCGAACAGACUCAAUCUCCUUCUGAGAGUUGGAGAGUUGAAUACUCUUGACCUUCAGAGCGGUGGUCUUCCUUACAAGAGCGUCCAUGAGGGAGUUCUCAGCCGCUAGAUCUUCUUGAAGCUUGGCUAGGCGCUCCUCAAUGGUCGUCUUGAAUGCUGAGUGGUCGUUUGAGAGAGUUUGACGAAGAGAAGCAAAAGACUUCAACUUUGAUGUAACGGAGGUAGCCAGCUGGUUGACAAUGGGUUCCAGCUUUGUUUUGGUGGCUUCAACAUUCUCCUGUAAUGACUAUAACAAAGACGAAGCAUCAAUGAAUAGUUUAUCGACUUUUUCGGUCGCAGCCUCACAGGCUUUGGUUGAGGCAUCAAUGGCUGCAGUGGCGGAGUCAAGAGAGACUUGAUGAGCUUUGGAAAAAGCAUUAACAAUCUUCUGAAUGACAGCCUUAGAGAUGUUAGAGUGGGAUGUAGAGGAGGAGGCGAUGAGCGAAUCAAUUUUAUUGUGAAGCUCCUUGAGAUGCCUCUUUGUGACAGGAGCAUCGUCAUCGUCAUCACUCUGAACUUGAUACGGACUAUAAUAGACCGAAUCAAAGGUCAUGUCCUCCCCACCGAGGAAUGGUUCUUCACUCUCUGUUGCAUGAGCAGGAGAUGAGGGGGUGGUAAGGGUGGAGGCUCGAUAGUUGUAGUAGGUUCGGGUUGGGUUGUAUGUUUGGUAGUUGGUGGUGGUUUGGGUGCGUCAGUAGGAACCCCUGUAUCAGAUACAUUGGUUCGUACUUCUGCGGUGGUGGUUGUUGCCUCGGUAAAGAUAGGAAGGGUAUUGGUAUGGAGGUAGGUGGUAUUUCAGUGGUGGAAGUUAUGGGGGGGAAUAGAAAUAGGAAUGGUAACUGGUGGAGAGGAGAUUGGAGAAGUGGAAAAGUGAACUUUUGGGGUGGGGAUCAUGGUGGAGUGUUACCACAAGGAGAGCCUUCAGAAGUAGAACUCUAUUCUUUGGAUUCGCUUGAGGAUGAAGUGAUGAUCAGCUUUCGCCUCGGUUGGGUUUUUCUCCUCUUCAGCGGAUGGGAUUGGACAGCCUUGGUGGUUUUUCGUUUCUUGGGAGAUGGGCCUUUCGCUCCCUUAGCAAUCUGCUUGACUUUGCCCUUGUAAGUCUUCUUUCCUCUUGGGGCAGGCUUGUCAGCCUCAUGGAUUGACUUGAGCAUCUAUGGAGUAAGCUCUCUCGGAACCAGAGCGUCAAAACUCCUUGUAUAUUUUAAUAAUCCGGCUGUCGGCAGGAACAUCGCCAUACAUCGUUUCAGGGAUUAAACCGUUGAAUGGAAAUUUUGAGGCAUCUGAAACAAUGAUCUUCGUGGUAUGAAAAGUACCAAUCGAAGACAUUGGACAACCAGUAACAAUGGGGAUGUGGUAUUUGUCCAUCACCCAUUUAGUAACGAGAGUCCAAAAUCGAGCAUAGGAAAUCUCGAAAUGUCGAGAUGUAGAAGACAGGCUCUGAAUGAGCUGUUGCCAUAGGACUGACCCGUAGUCCAAAUUGAUACCGUUGUAGAUCCCGUACAGAAUCGAUAUGAACAGACAACUUGCUCCGUCCGAUCCAGCACUGCGUUCAGACAGCCCCUUGAACAGCACUGUAAACAACCCAUUCCACUGAGGAGGCAGGCACGAUUUCUUGAAUUUUGUGACCGUAGUUAGCACCUUAGUAUACCCCAUGUUGUAGAACAUAUUAAAAAGAUGACCCAUUGGAAUGGUUUCAGGGAUAACCCUAGAUGAAUCGGGUUCAAAACCUAAGAGUGAGCAUAAUGUCUGCUUUGAAAUUGACGCCUUGUGAUUAAACACAUCGAAGAAAAUCCGAUCGACGACCUUGUCGUAGUGAGCAGUGUCGAAAAUUUGUGGUAAGAACUCCAUAGGAACUGCUUCAACUUUGGUGAGAGCAGGAGCAAUCGGCGAGUACUUCAGGCAUUCGAUUAUCUGGAACAUGAAAGCGUCGUAUGCAUGGGGAGUAAGAUCAAUGAUCAAACUCUAUUGGGGACGAAUCGGCAAGAUGUGUGAAGUAGCAUGAACUGAUGAAGAAUCCGCCAUUGUUGUGAAGAGGUUGGGAGAGAAGAAGAAAAGUAGAAUACUUGAAGGUUUUCUUGCUCUCUAAAAUUUGGUUGCAGUAAAGAGGUAAACAAUGGUUGAAGUUACCUUUUAUACUGUUGGUAGAUGAGAGAGAAGAAUCUGUCCCAAAUCUUCGGGGAAAUACGAAAAGUUUUUCGGAGGUGAUUGACGCAUGACAGUUGGUAUCACCGAUGAUCACACAUGAGAGAGAGUGUCCUCUUUUCCACCAUCAGUAUUGUAUCCCCUCAUGUGAGAUACAUCAGUCACCAUCAAACACUUCCCACUGCUUUCGUCACCUCUUGCAACAUAUGCCUUUCCAUGUGAAGGCUUUCUCACCUCAUCAUCCUCUGAGUCAGUAGACCACACCUCCACACCACCGAACUCGUCAUCCGCUGCCGAACCCUGUACAAUAAGAGCAUUCAUAGAAGGGUUAGUAGCAGCUUUCUUCCUCUUGAUUUAUUCAAGCUUUUUCAUUAACACAGCCUCUUUAUCUUUUUCCUCAUCUUUCUCUGCCAUUUUCUUCAGAACACAAUCUUUAGCAUAAUGGUUCUUUCCUCCACGGUAAUAGCAGCUAACGCCAGAAUCUCCUUCAACUUUCGCCUCUUUCUUUGGUUCUUUUGUCUUCGGCUCCUCCCUAACUUUUUCAGAACUAUAGCUUCCCUGCCAAUUUCGGUUCUUAUUGGUAGGGAACCUUCUCUUGAUAAACCUUUUUGGAUUAGACACCAUCAUUGCAUAAUCUUCAGAAGUAAGAUCAUAGACUUCUACGUUCAGAUCUACAUCUUCCACUGCAUUCUUGCCUUUUGAUAGGAGGGCCAAGGAUCCCAAGCUUGAGACCACAUUCUUUUCUUGCAUAACAAUCUUUUCUUGGGAUUUCAGAAUUCCCACCAGGUUUUCCAAUGAAUAAGACUUGAGCUGCUCAUGAGCUUUAACUGAAGACACGACAACUCUCCAUUCAGAUCUUAGGCCAUUCAAAAAGGUGACCUUCUGUUCAAUCAACUUCCUUUCUAUAUCAUGUUUGAUCAUCUUGCUAAGAAGAUGAUUGAAGCGAUCAAACGUCCGAGUGACAGUUUCAUCAGAAUUAUGCUUAAAUUCACCAAACUCAGACAAAAGCAAUGUCUGAAUAGAAUGCUCCAAAUCUUCAUCUGUGGAAUAUAGCUCUCACAACCUAUCCCAAAUUUCUUUAGCGGUACUGCAGGAACUCACCAACCUAAAUGUAUCAGACUGUAGAGCAAAUCAGAUCAGUCUCAAUGCUUUAAUGUUGCACUGAAACUUUUCCUUUUCAUCUUGAGCAACGUCUUUUAUGUCUUCUAGCAGAUCAUUAUACUCUUUCUGAGUUUUAAUGAUUUUAGAUGUUCCUGAGUGAGCAAAUUGUCCAGAUACAAUUGCUUCCCAAAUAAGAUACUCAUUAUCUUCAGAUCCGAUUACAUAGUCUUUGAAAUGAUGCGCCCAAACUUCAUAAUCCUGGGUGUAAAGAAUAGGAAUUUUUGUCGUUGAUCCAAUGCUGUUCGAUAUGUUGAUAGGAUUAGAUUGAGACUCAUCCAUGCUUGAUCGUUUAACUUGUUUGAAAGAUCAGACUUGUAAUAUGUAAUAUUAGGGCAAAACAAAUAAAUGUUGAGUUACAUCAAUUAUGGAAUGACGGCUCAAUAAAUAUAAGUUAAUGCGGAAUAACCCUUAUCAUUUCUUUCACAUAAAAGAUGUGUAUGAAUUACACAGCCUCCUGCUCUAAUACUAAUUGAUUGGAUUAAAACCCUAAUUGAGAUUUGAUGAACAAGAUGCGGAAAAUAAGAACAAACACAAAUACGAAGAUUAUGUCCAAUGAUCACUCGAUUUAUUCAAAUAUGAGGAAUAAAUUACACUUUCAGCAUAGACUAAAGAAUCUAACACUGCAUAAGAAACCUGGCUCUAAUACCAAUUGAUGAAUUAUAAUAACUCAUGAUCGAUUACAUCUUUGUAAUAGGUAAAUAAAGAACGUAAAAACAGUCAAAUAAAACACAAGUAUGGAUCUGAAUGAGUCGAAUGAUUAGAUUUCUCGAUCCUCAGCAGAGCUCGACUAAGAACUUUCGCUGUAGAGGAUACUAGGGUUACAAAAUCAGAACGAUGAACACGCUUGAAAAUACUUAUCUAAUCGUUACCUUCUAGAAUGCAUGCAAGCAUCUAUUUAUAAUAAACCCUAAACAAAACUCACGGAUAGACAGGCCCAUACCGGAGACAAAACUUGGACUUAGCUAACGAGCCCAAAAGACGCAACACAAAACUAGUCCUAACAGACACGAUUCAUGAUGUUUCACAUAAAGACAUGGUUCUAGACCAUUCUUUUGCCAUAAUAAUUUUUGUUUGCCAUAUUCUCAAAAUUUUACUAUGAAAAGGGAUGUCGUAAUCAUAAUCAAAUUUUGAGAACGCAAUAUAUAGAAUUUUCUUAAGUUGAACCAAUCCAACAUGAAAAUCAUAUAUAUAUUCUUGACUAAAGGUGAUUAAAAUCUCAAUAUAAGAUCUUUAGAAUGAUUAUAAACUCAAUCUAAGCUUUUCAUAAUUGAAAUGAAGGUUAAUUUUCUCUCCUUUAAUUAUAGCAAAACAACUUUUUCAACCCCUGCAACCUCACGAAUUGAAACAUUAGUUUUCUAUAAUUAACAUUGCUAACUUGCAAUACAUAUCAUAAUUAUCAUGCUCCCACUAACAUGAUGAUUAUAAGCAUAACACUUAUGCUCCCACUAGCUUUGACAUGUACUCAGAAAUCAGCUAUUGACUUUUUUUUACCAAAGUUCAGAUUUCUGAUACUCGAUUGCUUUGAUAAGACUUUAUCAAAAUCAUACACCUUAUCUUAGAUAGCUCACAUGUGUGUCUAAACAAUUUCAGAACUAUGAAAAGGGAUUCUGUAAUCAUAGUCGUAAUUGUUUAGGCCUUUGCUAUUUCUCAUAAGUCCAUGUUAGUAUGCCUACUAACAACUUUGAGAAUGCAAAGAUUACUAUCUACUUACAAAUCUACUUAGUGGAUGUGUUUUCCUCACCAUCAUUUUCAUGAAUCGGAGAGAAACCUUAUGACACUUAGAUUUUUAUGGUGUAUGAGUUCCUACGCAUAUGAAUUUGUCAAAACCAUAAUCACAAGACAAGGUUAGUGACAAAUCCAAACUCAUAUGGAUUGAACUUGUGCAAUCUUAAGUUCUUGCCAUUUGGCAGCACAAGGGCCUGUCAUAGCUUCCAAGUAGCUGUGCAACCAAUUGAGGACUCUAAGAACUCAUAUGCAAAGCCAACUUUAACUGGAAUGGGCACAGAAUAUGUCAACACGAUAGGUUAUAAACCUCAAGUCGUGUGCUAGUGAAGAACCUCAGGUUUUAUUCUUGAUUAGUUCUUGAGACUUUCAAGACCUUUAAGACUCCCACUGUCCUCUUGACAUAUAAGACCCUCUUGUUAAAUACUCAAGGGAUAGUGCGGAUUCUUAUCAAGACAAACACUUCACACAAUUGGCCUAAGUUGGUCUUUGUUUUAUCCAAAACAUCACAACUUACCAACUUCAAAUGUACAAGAGUAGGACACUUUUACUCUUACAUUUGACACGUGUUUUUAAACCUUUCAUUAAGAUAUGUCACUCAAGUUACAAUCUUAGAGUAUGACUCUAAGAAUUUUUUUGGAACGAAGUAUGACUCAUCUUCUUGAUUUGACCACUUCAAUAAUUCAUAACUCCUCUUCUUAGCUAUCAGAAUGCACUUAGAGGAUGAAUUGUGAUAAGGUCUCUUAGUCAUUAAGAUGAUCAUAUAACAUGAUACUAAAGUACUCUCUCAUCUUUUCAGAUUUGAGAAACUUUUAUCCUUCUGCCUAAUUUGAUUCUUCUCAUUCGUUCUACCAUACAUCGAGACUUUUCCAAUGCUUCAGAAUUAUACAUAGACUUAUAAGUAUAACCAUAUUUACUAAACUUUAGUAAAUCAUGACGAAUAGUCUUAUCGAUUAUUUUUGGUGGGCUUGAUCAGUGCACAUGAUUGUGUACUUGAUCCCUUUAGUCCUUUACUUGACUCACACAUCCAUGUGAUCAAGUAAUUAGUCUUAAUUUUCCAAUGCUUGAAAUUUCUCAUUCAUCAAACUAUACAACUUGCGUGAUUCCAAGUUUCGGUCCAAUUGAAACUUGGGUGAUGAGAAUCUUUUCUUAUUUGGUAAAUUUAGACAUUACCACAAAUGAAAGAAUCAAUUUCAUAUUUCCAGUCUUGCUAUUAAUGGAAUCUUAUAAGCAACAAAAAUUUUCACAGAUGCCAUUGUAAGGGUAUUUUAAAAUAAAUAAAAUCAGAAAUUUUCCUUUUAUUUUAAAACUUUGCAGAAAAACUAAUGCUUACAAUCCAUAUGAAAAACUUGUUGUUAUCUAUUCCUAAGCAAUAUCUCAUAACUCCUAAGAAGUAGCUCAAGAAUCCGAUCUUCAAACUAUGCGAUAGAAAUCCAUCUACGCGAUCAGAUUCAGCAUAUUAUUUCUUUAAGUUUCUUCUGUUCUCUUUGAUUCUUAAAACAUCAACAUGUGACCCACUCACAUCAUGUAUCAGGAAUCUCAGAGUAGAAACUUAACAGAGUUAGACUAUGGACUUUACCUGAAAUAAAGUCAAACCCAUUGACUUUACCAUCCUUAGGUAAGUUUGGCAGCUUCGUAACCAAUGCCCCUUCCUUUAGCAAUUUAACAUAUGGGCUCUUUGAUAAUGAUACAUGGGACUAUCACAGACUUAGCAUUUCUCUUAACCAUUUGGUCAACCAAGUUGACUAUGGCCAAUCCCUUUCCAUUGGGAAGAGAAUGCUUUUUCUGGAUUUCCAGUGUCACCAUUGUCAAUGUCCAUAAAGUUUUCGGAAGUCGAUCUUCUAAUCAAAUUUGCUUUACUAGCCUUCUAAAUCAUUGUUGAUUCAGCAAUACCAAGCAAAUAGAUAAGAUCAUUAAGGGUCUUGUCAUAGUCUGUUUCAUAGGAGUCCCAAAGGAACUUACUAUGUAACUUAGAAACUCAUUGAACCACCAACUUUCUCAAGACUUUGACACCUAACUCUCCCGGUUGUCUAUAUGUGACUUUAUCUCCAAGAUGUGAUCACACCUAGACCUUGCCUUGCCAAUAGGGCUUGAGUGACCUUGAACUUGUGGGUUAGGGAAAAUAAUUGGAGGUGGAGGAAGUGAAGUUCCAAUAGAUUUGGGAAGAUCACAGAUGUCUGAACUAGACAUCUUUUGGGAGAUAUUCAAGUUUAGUUGAUUUAAAAGUCCUUAAUAUAACACCCAAUAUGAAAUAUUAAGGCUAGGACCCUACAACCUAUUUUAUAACUCGGAAGAGGGAUGCCGUAAUCCAAGUUAUAAAAUAGUUUAAGGUAAAUGACGAUUUACCAAUUUCCACCAUGAAAAACGAAAUAUAAUUAAGUUUUAAUUGGAUUUGAAACUCCUAGAUCUUUUGAGAUUCAUUGAAGUUUUCAAUGGCAUGUUUCAAUAUCGAGUGUGCCCUUCAGGUUUUGUGACUGGGAUGCCGAGGAUCACAAAACAAGGUGUGAAGUAACCAUGCAAAUCACUUGGCACUCUUAAAUGUUUAUCACCCAACCGGUGUGCCGGUAAACCACACACGCUCCACCAGCCUAUGAUAAACUUUAAGAAAACCCUUUGCCUACCUUGUUAAAUCAAGCUAGUGUGCCGGUAAACCACACACGCUCCACCAACCGACUUAAGCAAAGUGCAAAGUGUAAUUUCAUGGGCUAGCACCUUAUUCACAUUUUCCUAAGUAACUAAGAUUGGGUAUUUAUAAAAGGUUUAGUUACUUAGUAUUUAUCAUUAAUACUUUUAAUGAAGGGAGAACUUAAAGUAUUUGUCCUACCCGUUCGGCUAACGACCCUCCACCAUUCAAGGAAGCGGUGGGUGAGAGUGGACACCCAUUAAACUGCCAUUUUAUAGGCAGUAACCUUAUGCCCCCCUUAUAGACCGGCUUCGUGAAUGAGGCCUACUAACGGUAAGACUGACUUUACUCUUAUACAUAUAUAUAAAUAUUAUUAACUUAUAAUAUUAUAAAGUAUAAGGGUUGAAUUUUAACUUUUAAAAUUCUAAGGGCUAACUUGGAAUUUAAGUAUUCGUAAGAGAAAACUUUUCAAAUUCCAAAACAUGAGGGCAAGUUUUGAAACUAUUCAAAACUAAUUAAUUCCAUAACUUAUGUGUUUAAAGUAGUGUUAAUUAAAAGACUUCAAGUUCCAUAACUUGAGGACAAGUUAUGGAAGACUUUAAACUAAUAAAGAAUGUAACUUUUCUUUAUUUUUAUCACUUAUGGAACUAAUUAAGGUUACAGUUAUUUAUUUAUUUAUUAUUUAAUGAAGAGACUCUUGGUCCUCCAUAACUUGAGGACAAGUUAUGGAGUCAUAAAACCAUUUAAUUAGAAAUAGACUCUUCAUUUUUGUAACCUUUGCCAAUUUUUAUGAGUUUUAUGAUUCUUAAAUGUGACUUUUCAUAUAACUUGAGGACAAGUUACAAAAACACAUUUUAGAAUCAAUUCUUAGAUUAAUUUGGAUUNUAACACACUUUGGAAUCAACUCUUAGAUUAAAACGGAUUGAAAUCAACUAUUUCACACAACUUUUCUAUUAAUCUAAGCAACUCAUAAGAACAAGAUAAUUCAAAUCACACUUUUUCAUGUAAUUAGUCUAAACCUUAAACUAAUACAAAACAUGAAUCUAUUGACAAUUAUCUUUGAAAUUGGAUUAGCAUGAACAUUACCACAUCAAAAACAAGUUUAUUAGUCCAAAAACAUCUUAGGGUAAUGUUCCUAGUCUAAUUCCAGCCAAAAAAAGUCAAAUUUAUGCUGUCUGGGGGUCCAACUCGUCGAGUACAUGAACCAACUUGACGAGUUGGAUCGAUUUUGACCACUUUUAGGCAUGGACUCGCCGAGUCUCCUGAUGGACUCGCCGAGUCUAAUGAUCAGACAACAAAUAGCUUCGAUUUUUUGAGCAUUCUAACACUCCUAAGUGUACAUGCAACCCUAAAUACCUUGGAUCUAUGUUUUCUCUAUUAUACAUGCAAAUAUGAACAUCCAAAGUAUUAUUCUAAUCUAGCAUACAAAACAAUGACUAUAGCAAGAUAGAAUACAUACCUCUUUGAUGUAGAAUUUCCUCAAGAAGCUUGAGUGCCUAGUGCCUCAAGUGUGACACCUCAAAUGGCUCACACAAUAUCAAUUGCUUUUGGAAUAACCUUGAGAGAAAUGUAGAACACUUGAAAAUCGGCUAGCUCUUUUCUUCUUCACACUAGUGUCGUUUUUGCCAAGAGUAUGAUCUUUAUAUAGUGUUACAAUUAGUGUAAACCCUAAUUGUUAUGACUUUCCAUUUCCUUGGAUCCAUGGGUUCAAAGAUACCAUGGAGCAUCCAUGGAGCAUCCUAUGGGUUUUACCCCAACUUGACAAUCAACCCAUAUAUUUAAUUAGUCUUCUUUUGAUCACUUAACUAAUUCUAGAUUAAUUCUUGAUCAAUACUAAUUAAAUAAUCCUAUUAAUAUAUUAGAACUUAUAAUAUAUUAAUCAACCUUAAGUAUUAUUUCUCUCAUUAUAGUCUAUCCAAAUGCAUGAUGCCAUGCAACCCAAAUGGACCAUGCCGGGUCAGGUCAAGUCUUACCAAUUAUAGUUAUGGACUUAGACAUUAAUCCAAUAGUCUCCCACUUAGGUAAGUCUAAAACUAUUAUUGCGUAUGACUUCAAGAACCAACUGGGAAUCGUAGCUCUCAAAAGCUUCUGUCGAACUCUGACCUUGCCAAUGAUCUCUGACCUUUGUCACUGACUUGUCCAUUAGAUAAGGGAUCAUAUAUUCCUCCAUUCUAGAUAUCAUAUGGACUGAGACAUGGA
rnacentral:lncRNA from 1 species